rnacentral:tRNA from 1 species
UUGAUGGUAUAACUCAGCGGUAGCAUGUCACCUUGACGUGGUGAAAGUCAUCGGUUCGAAUCCGAUUCAGGGC